rnacentral:lncRNA from 1 species
UAAAUGUUUCCCUCUUUUUUCCCGCAUAUAAAAGUCCCUCUUUGAAGCUCAUAUUCCCCUCCCAUUUUGCCGCCAUUGCUGCUUCCCAUCUCUCAAUUCAAAGUUUUUUUCCUUCAAAUUCCCUUUUCAAUUCCGCACAACUAAGACAAACCCUUUUUCCCCUUUCCGUUUCCUCCCCACAAAUUUUCUCUAAAAAUCCCCGCCUUUUCCUCCCCUC